rnacentral:rRNA from 1 species
AGCAGCCGCGGUAAUUCCAGCUCCAAUAGCGUAUAUUAAAGUUGUUGCAGUUAAAAAGCUCGUAGUUGAAUUUCGGGAUCAAUAUACCGGUCAUGCCUUGGUAUGCACUGGUAUCUUUGAUUUCUCCCUUCUGACGAACUUUGAUGUCAUUAAUUUGGUGUCAUAGGGAAUCAGGACUGUUACUUUGAAAAAAUUAGAGUGUUUAAAGCAGGCUCACGCUUGAAUACAUUAGCAUGGAAUAAUGAAAUAGGACGUUUGAUUCUAUUUUGUUGGUUUCUAGGAUCGACGUAAUGAUUAAUAGGGAUAGUUGGGGGCAUUAGUAUUCAAUUGUCAGAGGUGAAAUUCUUGGAUUUUAUUGAAGACUAACUACUGCGAAAGCAUUUGCCAAGGAUGUUUUCAUUAAUCAAGAACGAAAGUUAGGGGAUCGAAGACGAUCAGAUACCGUCGUAGUCUUAACCAUAAACUAUGCCGACUAGGGAUCGGAUGAUGUUAAUUUUUAAUGACUC